rnacentral:rRNA from 1 species
ACGGAAGGCAGCAGUGGGGAAUAUUGCACAAUGGGGGAAACCCUGAUGCAGCGACGCCGCGUGAGUGAAGAAGUAUUUCGGUAUGUAAAGCUCUAUCAGCAGGAAAGAAAAUGACGGUACCUGACUAAGAAGCCCCGGCUAACUACGUGCCAGCAGCCGCGGUAAUACGUAGGGGGCAAGCGUUAUCCGGAUUUACUGGGUGUAAAGGGAGCGUAGACGGCUUUGCAAGUCUGAAGUGAAAGCCCGGGGCUCAACUCCGGAACUGCUUUGGAAACUGUAGAGCUAGAGUGCAGGAGAGGUAAGUGGAAUUCCUAGUGUAGCGGUGAAAUGCGUAGAUAUUAGGAGGAACACCAGUGGCGAAGGCGGCUUACUGGACUGUAACUGACGUUGAGGCUCGAAGGCGUGGGGAGCAAACAGGAUUAGAUACCCUGGUA